rnacentral:rRNA from 1 species
UACGUAGGUGGCAAGCGUUGUCCGGAUUUAUUGGGUUUAAAGGGUGCGUAGGCGGUCUUAUAAGUCAGUGCUGAAAUAUCCCGGCUUAACCGGGAGGGUGGCAUUGAUACUGUAGGACUUGAGUAGAGUUGAGGUUGGCGGAAUUGACGGUGUAGCGGUGAAAUGCUUAGAUAUCGUCAAGAACACCGAUAGUGAAGACAGCUAACUAGGCUCUAACUGACGCUGAGGCACGAAAGUGUGGGGAUCAAACAGG